GACACCGCUGGCGGAGACAGGCAGCAGUAACAUGCAGAGCAGCUGAUGCUGUGCGGGGGCUAAAAAUAAUCAUCUUUUUACUCUCCAACUCUCGCUGUAUUGUGUUUCUUUUCCUCUUCUUUCUUUCUUCUGUUUGUUUUCUUUCUUUUUUAAAAAUCAAGACGUCUGGAAUGAAACGGUGUCAGUAAGGAUUUUUAGCUACUUUUCUUCGAGAUCGACUCAAGGCUUGUGCGGAGCAGCUGGUUGGUGGCAUGGCCUUGUCGUUUUGCGGCAGCGACAACGGCAGCAAUUCCUACAGCGUGAACGAGGGCGUGCUGAACAAUGGCUGCUUCGUGGACGCCCUCAACUUGGUUCCCCACGUCUUCCUGCUCUUCAUCACCUUCCCCAUCCUCUUUAUUGGUUGGGGAAGUCAGAGCUCCAAAGUCCAGAUCCAUCAUAACACAUGGCUCCAUUUCCCCGGCCACAACAUGAGAUGGAUCCUCACCUUCUCUCUGCUGUUUGUCCAUGUGUGCGAGUUUGCAGAGGGCAUCGUCUCCAACAAUAGAGGGAUGCAGACCAACCACCUCCAUCUCUUCAUACCAGCCUUCAUGGGUUUCAUAGCAGCCACAACAUCAGUGGUUUACUACCACAACAUAGAGACAUCCAACUUCCCCAAACUGCUGCUUGUCCUGUUCAUCUACUGGGUGUUGGCGUUCAUUACAAAGUCCAUUAAGCUGUGGAAGUUUGCAGAGUACUCUGUUGGACCACAGCACCUGAGGUUCUGCAUCACUGCCCUGCUAGUCCUCCUGUACGGACUGCUGAUGGCUGUGGAGAUCAACGUCAUAAGAGUCAGAAAGUACGUGUUCUUUGCCAACCCUCAAAAGGUGAAACCACCGGAGGAUUUACAGGAUUUGGGGGUUCGCUUUCUGCAGCCGUUUGUCAACCUGCUGUCCAAGGCAACAUACUGGUGGAUGAAUCCUCUCAUCAUUGGAGCCCAUAAGAGGCCCAUAGAGCUGAAGAAGAUCGGCAAGCUGCCCAUCGCCAUGAGAGCCCUCACCAACUACCUUCGGCUCAAAGACGCCUAUGAGGAUCAAAGGACAGCGGAGGAUCCGAACCGCCCCCCGUCAAUCUGGCGCUCCAUGUAUCGAGCGUUUGGUCGUCCCAUCCUGCUCAGUAGCACCUUGCGCUACCUGGCUGAUCUGCUGAGCUUCGCAGGGCCGCUCUGCAUCUCUGGAAUCGUGAAGUACCUGAACAAGACUGGCAGUGCCACACCACUAAACAAGAUCAAGGGUGAUACAUAUUUAGGUGUGUACUUCAUGUCUACCACUGAGCUGCUGCAGAACACCUCAGUCCUGGCUGUGCUUCUCUUCCUGGCUUUAGUCCUCCAGAGGACCUUCCUGCAGGCCUCGUACUACGUCACCAUAGAAACGGGCAUCAACCUGCGCGGAGCCCUGCUGGCGAUGAUUUACAACAAAAUCCUGCGUCUGUCCACCUCCAACAUGUCCAUGGGGGAGAUGACACUGGGGCAGAUCAACAACCUGGUCGCUAUAGAGACCAACCAGCUGAUGUGGUUCCUCUUCCUCUGCCCCAACCUGUGGUCCAUGCCUGUACAGAUCGUGAUGGGAGUGAUCAUGCUCUACUAUUUUAUGGGCUGCAGUGCCUUGGUUGGAGCAUCUGUCAUAGUUCUGCUGGCUCCAGUCCAGUACCGAAUAGCUACAAAGCUGGCAGACACACAAAAAAGCACACUAGAACACUCUACGGAUCGUCUGAAAAAGACCACAGAGAUCCUAAAGGGGAUCAAGUUGCUGAAGCUGUAUGCCUGGGAGAACAUCUUCUGUGACAGCGUGGAGGACACCCGAGGCAAAGAGCUCACCAGCCUCAAGACCUUCGCCUUCUACACAUCAAUGUCUAUCUUCAUGAAUGCUGCUAUUCCCAUUGCUGCCGUUCUUGCGACGUUUGUGGUGUAUCACUUUAUAAAUGAAACUGGUCCCACUCCUUCGGAGGCCUUCGCAGCUCUGGCGUUGUUCCACAUCCUGGUCACCCCUCUCUUCCUGCUCUCCACUGUGGUCAGAUUUGCUGUCAAGGCGAUGGUCAGUGUCCAGAAGCUCAGCGAGUUUCUUCAGAGUGACGAAAUUGGAGACGACAGCUGGAGAAAUGGAGACACGUCUGUUUCCAUGGAAGCAGGAAAGAAACACCUGGGGGUGACCAAAGCAAUCAACAGGAAGCAGCCAAUGCGGUACCAGAUGGACAACUACGAGCAGCCGACCCGGCGACAGAUGAGACCCACGGAAACGGAGGAUGUGGCUGUAAAGGUGAGCAAUGGAUUCUUCACCUGGGGAAGUAACCUGUCCACUCUGUCAGACAUCAACAUCUGCAUCCCCACAGGCCAGCUGACAAUGAUUGUGGGCCAGGUGGGUUGUGGGAAGUCCUCCCUGCUGCUGGCCAUGCUUGGCGAGAUGCAGACCCUCGGCGGAAGUGUCUACUGGAGCAAGCUGCCUGAUAAUGAGACGGUCCACGAGGGGAACAUAAGUUGGUCAGAGACAGAGGAGUCUGGCGAAGACAUCAGGAGCAAGAACCGAUACUCUGUGGCCUACGCUACCCAGAAGUCCUGGCUGCUUAACGCUACGGUGGAGGAGAACAUCACGUUUGGCAGCCCGUUCAAUAAACAGAGGUACAAGACCGUGAUAGACGCCUGCUCUCUGCAGCCAGACAUUGACCUGCUGCCAUUUGGAGACCAAACUGAGAUCGGAGAGAGGGGCAUCAACCUGAGUGGAGGUCAGAGACAGAGAAUCUGCGUGGCCAGAGCUCUCUACCAGAACACCAACAUCGUCUUCCUGGACGAUCCCUUCUCAGCGCUGGACAUCCACCUCAGUGAUCACCUCAUGCAGGAAGGAAUCCUCAAGUUUCUGCAGGAUGACAAACGGACUGUAGUCCUGGUCACCCAUAAACUGCAGUACCUCAUACAUGCAGACUGGAUUAUAGCAAUGAAGGAUGGCUCUGUGCUGAGAGAGGGAACUCUGAAGGACAUUCAGACUCAUGACAUUGAGCUUUAUGAUCACUGGAAGACCCUGAUGAACCGACAAGACCACGGCCUGGAGAAGGACGUACAGCAGGACAGCCAGACGACACUCGAGAGGAAAACACUGAGGAGAGCUUUCUACUCCAGAGAGGCCAAGAACCAAAUAGACGAUGAGGACGAAGAGGAAGAAGAGGAGGAGGAAGAUGAUGACAACAUGUCCACAACCACUAACAGAAGAUCUAAGAUCCCAUGGAGGGUGUGCUGGUGUUACAUGUCCUCCGGUGGGUUCUUUAUGGCCUUCCUGAUGGUGUCCUCCAAACUUCUCAAACAUUCUGUCAUUGUUGCCAUUGACUACUGGUUGGCCAUCUGGACUUCCUCCAAAACCAGCCAGAGUGCAGGAGCAGGACAAGACGUGUCUAAUGGAUCCAGCCUGGCUGACGGUAUCGGCGGCAACUCCACAUUUGCCACGCCUGGUACUCCGCAGGCUGAGGACGACUCCUACUACCUGCCAGUGUUCAUCACCCUGUGUGCGGCUGGAAUCACGUUAUGCCUCAUCACCUCUCUCACCGUGGAGUUUCUGGGUCUUUCUGCAGCCACCAACCUGCACCACAACCUGCUCAACAAGAUCAUCCACGCGCCCAUCAGGUUCUUUGACAUCACUCCCCUGGGGCAGAUCCUCAACAGAUUCUCAGCUGAUACCAACAUCAUAGAUCAGCAUAUUCCUCCAACACUGGAGUCAUUGACGAGAUCCACGUUGCUGUGUUUGUCGGCCAUCGGGGUCAUAUCCUCCAUCACUCCAGCUUUCCUGAUCGCCUUGGUUCCCCUGGCUGUGGCCUUCUACUUCAUCCAGAAGUACUUCCGGGUGGCCUCUAAGGACCUCCAGGACCUCGAUGACUCCACACAGCUUCCUCUGCUCUGCCACUUCUCUGAGACAGCUGAAGGUCUCACCACUAUAAGAGCAUUCAGACACGAGGCUCGUUUUAAACAGCGUAUGCUGGAGCUGACAGACACCAAUAACACGGCCUACCUGUUUCUGUCUGCUGCCAACCGCUGGCUGGAGGUCCGAACGGACUACCUCGGAGCAGUGAUAGUGCUGACAGCAGCAGGAGCCGCCAUAUGGAGUUUACGCUACGGUCUGCAUUCUGGAGGCCUGGUGGGCCUCGGACUUACCUACGCCCUCACUGUCACCAACUACCUGAACUGGGUUGUGCGGAACCUGGCAGACCUGGAGGUCCAGAUGGCAGCGGUGAAGAAGGUCAACAGCUUCCUUGGCACAGAGUCAGAGAACUACGAGGGAUCCAUGGAUGCCUCUCAGGUGCCUGAGAACUGGCCCCAGAACGGCGAGAUAAAGAUCCAGGAGCUGUGCGUGCGCUACGAUCCCAUGCUCAAACCAGUGCUCAAACACGUCAACAUGUUCAUCGAACCAGGCCAGAAGGUGGGAAUCUGCGGUCGCACUGGCAGCGGGAAGUCUUCUCUGUCCUUGGCCUUUUUCAACAUGGUGGAUAUUUUCGAAGGGAAGAUCGUCAUCGAUGGGAUCGACAUCUGUAAGCUUCCUCUGCAGACACUCAGGUCGCGGCUCUCCAUCAUCCUCCAGGAUCCCGUGUUGUUUAGUGGAUCAAUAAGGUUUAACCUGGAUCCAGAGAGGACGUGCACUGAUGACCGACUCUGGGAGGCACUAGAGAUCGCUCAGUUGAAGAACAUGGUGAAAGCGCUGCCCGGAGGACUAGAUGCGGUUGUGACUGAAGGCGGAGAGAACUUCAGCGUCGGUCAGAGGCAGCUCUUCUGUCUGGCCCGGGCUUUUGUCAGAAAGAGCAGCAUCCUCAUCAUGGACGAAGCCACAGCAUCGAUAGACAUGGCCACGGAGAACAUCUUACAGAAAGUUGUGAUGACUGCAUUUGCAGACCGAACAGUCGUUACAAUCGCACACCGCGUGUCCUCCAUCUUGGACGCCGAGCAGGUGUUGGUCUUCUCCUCGGGGAUCUUGGUGGAAAGUGACUCAGGUCCCAACCUGCUAGCGCAGGAGGAUAGCCUCUUCAGUGUGCUAGUGAGGACUCACAAGUAGACCCGGAUCAGCACAGACCACUUUGGCUCUGCCUGGUUCUUCUCUCUUUCUUCCAUUUUCUCCCACCUUUCCUGAAUUGUCCUCCUUUUCCUGGCUGAGUCAGAGCUGGAGUCUGGGUCUGCUGAAGCCUUUCUGCCACUGACAGCCUGCACCGCGUCCACACCAUCCUAACAGCCGAUCUGGUCAUCGUGAUGAAGCGAGGGAACAUUUUGGAGUACGACAAACCCGAGACUCUUUUGGAGCAGGAGGAUGGGAUGUUCGCUUCCUUCGUCAGGGCUGACAUGUAGACACACAAGUCAGUCAGCCAACGGCCAGCAACUGACAGACCGAUCAGUUGGUUGGAUCUGCUUUUUUUGUUUUCUUAAUGAGGCGGACAGAGCUCUGUGACACUACAACACUCCAGUGAAGCCAAUAAUGUUUGUCUUUAACAAGCAACUCAUCUGUGUAUUUAACAGAAAAACCAGAUCCAGAAACACUAUCGAUCACCAGAUGAUAUAUAUAUAUUUGAAAAAUUGUACUUGAAUCAUUCAGUCAGUCAGCCAUUUUUUUUUUUAAAUGUAGAAACACCAUAUAUAGUUUAAAUGAUAAAUCAAUCACUUGAUCCAAUUAUUAGAAUGGAAAUUAGCAACUACACAUAUCCGGAAACUUUUUCACUACGUUAAACAAUGGAGAAAUUCUUGGAUUACUGAU